UACGUAGGGGGCUAGCGUUGUCCGGAUUUAUUGGGCGUAAAGAGCGUGUAGGCGGCCAGGUAGGUCAGCUGUGAAAACUCGAGGCUCAACCUCGAGACGUCGGUUGAAACCACCUGGCUAGAGUCCGGAAGAGGAGAGUGGAAUUCCUGGUGUAGCGGUGAAAUGCGCAGAUAUCAGGAAGAACACCCGUGGCGAAGGCGGCUCUCUGGGUCCACCCUGACGCUGAGGCGCGAAAGCGUGGGGAGCGAACGGG
rnacentral:rRNA from 1 species